NAAAUUCUCUGACUUAAAUGUCACUGCGCAUGAGGAAGCGUGGAGGGUUUCUCUCGAUUUAGUGCUUUCCGCUAAAAUCCUAGGUAACCGCAGUAGUGUUAAGAACGAAACUGAUUUAGCGAUCUAGUAUCGACCUGAACCGAUGGACUACUCAAACGCGGCUAAUUUAGUGGGUAUGCAUAGCAAUUUCCUUUAAUGAAAUGCUAUUGCGCUAGGAAAAAUAUCCUGUUAGCACAUCUCGGGUUUGAAGGCUGGGCGUAUCCGUGAGGAGCGUAAAUGUAACUUCCAGCAAGUAGGGCUUAGCGGCCUGCCUCAAUUCCCAUCAAUCCAAAAACAGGUGGCCUCUUUCAUUAGGAGCUUCCAUCUGUUGGUUGUGACGUGAGCUUUGUAGUUGCUAUAAACGCAACUGUGGUUCUUUUGUGCGGUACGCCCUCGUUUGAAGGAGAGGAGGAUUAAAGGUCGAUUCCUACCAUUGAGCAUGGAAUCCACACUUGAACUCUUUGCAAUCAGCACAUGCGUUCCCAACGUAGUGCUCUCACCACCAGUUACUGGGGGCUUUAGGUGAGAGUGUAAAACAGACAGUGUAAAAGCUGAAAUUGUCUUCGGACAGCC
rnacentral:misc_RNA from 1 species